GAUGAACGCUGGCGGCGUGCCUAAUACAUGCAAGUCGAGCGAACGGACGAGAAGCUUGCUUCUCUGAUGUUAGCGGCGGACGGGUGAGUAACACGUGGAUAGCCUACCUAUAAGACUGGGAUAACUUCGGGAAACCGGAGCUAAUACCGGAUGAUAUUUUGAACCGCAUGGUUCAAAAGUGAAAGACGGUCUUGCUGUCACUUAUAGAUGGAUCCGCGCUGCAUUAGCUAGUUGGUAAGGUAACGGCUUACCAAGGCAACGAUGCAUAGCCGACCUGAGAGGGUGAUCGGUCACACUGGAACUGAGACACGGUCCAGACUCCUACGGGAGGCAGCAGUAGGGAAUCUUCCGCAAUGGGCGAAAGCCUGACGGAGCAACGCCGCGUGAGUGAUGAAGGUCUUCGGAUCGUAAAACUCUGUUAUUAGGGAAGAACAUAUGUGUAAGUAACUGUGCACAUCUUGACGGUACCUAACCAGAAAGCCACGGCUAACUACGUG
rnacentral:rRNA from 1 species